rnacentral:rRNA from 1 species
GACGAACGCUGGCGGCGUGCUUAACACAUGCAAGUCGAACGAUGAACCCGGAGCUUGCUCCGGUGGAUUAGUGGCGAACGGGUGAGUAACACGUGAGUAACCUGCCCUUGACUCUGGGAUAACUGCGGGAAACUGUAGCUAAUACCGGAUACGACCCUCGGCGGCAUCGCCAGGGGGUGGAAAGAAUUUCGGUCAAGGAUGGACUCGCGGCCUACCAGCUGGUUGGUGAGGUAACGGCUCACCAAGGCGACGACGGGUAGCCGGCCUGAGAGGGUGACCGGCCACACUGGGACUGAGACACGGCCCAGACUCCUAUGGGAGGCAGCGGUGGGGAAUAUUGCACAAUGGGCGCAAGCCUGAUGCAGCAACGCCGCGUGAGGGAUGACGGCCUUCGGGUUGUAAACCUCUUUUAGUAGGGAAGAAGCGAAAGUGACGGUACCUGCAGAAAAAGCACCGGCUAACUACGUGCCAGCCGCCGCAGUAA